rnacentral:rRNA from 1 species
GAUGAACGCUGGCGGCGUGCCUAAUACAUGCAAGUCGAGCGAACAGACGAGGAGCUUGCUCCUCUGACGUUAGCGGCGGACGGGUGAGUAACACGUGGAUAACCUACCUAUAAGACUGGGAUAACUUCGGGAAACCGGAGCUAAUACCGGAUAAUAUAUUGAACCGCAUGGUUCAAUAGUGAAAGACGGUUUUGCUGUCACUUAUAGAUGGAUCCGCGCCGCAUUAGCUAGUCGGUAAGGUAACGGCUUACCAAGGCAACGAUGCGUAGCCGACCUGAGAGGGUGAUCGGCCACACUGGAACUGAGACACGGUCCAGACUCCUACGGGAGGCAGCAGUAGGGAAUCUUCCGCAAUGGGCGAAAGCCUGACGGAGCAACGCCGCGUGAGUGAUGAAGGUCUUCGGAUCGUAAAACUCUGUUACUAGGGAAGAACAAAUGUGUAAGUAACUAUGCACGUCUUGACGGUACCUAAUCAGAAAGCCACGGCUAACUACGUG